rnacentral:rRNA from 1 species
UGGAACCUACGGGACGCAGCAGUGAGGAAUAUUGGUCAAUGGGCGAGAGCCUGAACCAGCCAAGUCGCGUGAGGGAGUACUGCCCUAUGGGUUGUAAACCUCUUUUGUCGGGGAGCAAAAGCCGGACGUGUCCGGCUGUGAGAGUACCCGAAGAAAAAGCAUCGGCUAACUCCGUGCCAGCAGCCGCGGUAAUACGGAGGAUGCGAGCGUUAUCCGGAUUUAUUGGGUUUAAAGGGUGCGCAGGCGGCGAGUUAAGUCAGCGGUAAAAUUUCGGGGCUCAACCCCGACGAGCCGUUGAAACUGGC